rnacentral:tRNA from 1 species
GGUUGUGGCUCAGUGGUAAAGCACCUGCCUUGCAUGUGUGAGGCACUGGGUUUGAUUCUCAGCACCA